rnacentral:piRNA from 1 species
UGUGUUUGAAUGGAUUUUUGCAAGUUUC